rnacentral:rRNA from 1 species
GACAGGGGUCUCAAGCGUUAAUCGGAAUUACUGGGCUUAAAGGGUGCGUAGGCGGGCCCGAAAGUGCUUUGUGAAAUCCCCCGGCUCAACCGGGGAACUGCGGGGCAUACUGCGGGUCUUGAGGAAGGUAGGCGCCGAGGGAACAGUAGGUGGAGCGGUGAAAUGCGUAGAUAUCUACUGGAACGCCGAUGGUGAAGACGCUCGGCUGGGCCUUUCCUGACGCUGAGGCACGAAAGCGUGGGGAGCAAACAGG